AUGGUUUUUGUAGCGCCUCCUCGCCAGAUGUCAUCUGGGAGCGUUCCUGGCUCUUCUAGAGACAGCAUGAUGAUCUAUCUCCUUGCUGGUGUUGCUGCUUUUGGUGGUUUAUUUUAUGCCUACAGAGUAGUCAGUUCACCCCGCAGCAAGUUUGUUGAAGAUACAAAUAUUCUUCGUGAGAGAGCCGAUGAGCAGAAAAGCAAUCCUUGGUCAAGAAAGGGUGAGUUGAGCUCCUUUCUCUUGUUCCCUGGGUACUCAAGGAUUUGGAACAGAUUUCUAUAUUGUCUAAUCAGGCUUUAGCACUGUCCACGUCCUUGUCUGAACUGUGUGAGUGGGACUGAAGACAGAGGUGCUUGUACAGCAUUGUUCUGCUACAAAGCUCCUGCUGCACGAAUUUUGGUAGUGGCCGUAAUGUUCAGGCAUUAAUCUGGUCUUUGGUCCACCUGUGGAGUCUCUUUGAAUGGAAAGAGUUGAUGUGUGAAUACUAUUAAUUGUAUAAUGGGUAUUUGAUUUACUGGAAGCUUAAUGAAACUUGACUGAAUACAUAAUGCUGUCAAAAUCAAUUUUGUUCUUUUGUUUUUAGGGGGGGGAGAAGAUAAUAUCUUUUCUUAGUCAACAGGUUGGCUUCAGGCCACAUGCCAUCAGGAAAUACAGCUCAAUAGAGGAAAAAACCUACAUAAAAAAAAUUAACUUGCAUUGAUUUUUUUGUCCUACAACCUUGAUUUUGUCAUUUCUAAUUUGGGGUUAGAUGAAAUGCAGGCAUUACCUAAAUGUAUAGCAAAUCCUUACUUAGCUCUUCAUGCUUGAAUAAUUAGACUGUGUUAGUUCAAAUACUUGUAAUGGAAUGUUGUCCCUGUCUACAUCAAUUAGUGUUAACUGAUGUUAAUUUCACAUUAAUGUAAAAGGUAGAACUUUGGCAAGCAUGGCCUUGCUAGGAAAAGCAAUUAGGAAAAUUUCUUAAGGAUAUUUAAAUAUUUUUUUGGUUGUUAUUUAAAAGAAUUAAGCAUUGAAGCCAGAGCACUUGAAGCUCUUCCUUUUUUUUUUAUACUGUUGUCUUCUAAGAAUUACUUUAAUAUAUUUGCAUGCACACAAAGAAUACCUUUGAUUAAAGUAUCAGGAGUUUAAAUUUUGUCUUCAGUGUGAGAGCAUGGUUUAAAUUGUCUGCCUCUAUAAUUAUUUCUUUAGAGGUUGUUAGCCUUGUACUUCUACAACACAUGCUUUAGUUUCAGAACAUUAAAACUACAGACCUUAAGAUUUAAAGUAGUAAAAUACCUGAAUUUCCAAAAAAGAAAGCAGUUUAGUUUUAAAACUCAAUUGUUUAAACAAAUGCUGAGAAUUCAGCCACAAUUUGUAAUCCUUCAUUGUCCCUAAAAUAGAAAAUGUAAUGAGGACCAAAGUGGAUCUCUCCCAGGGACCUGGUGUCCUGCUGUUCAGGACAGAAGUGAGGAUUACCCUCGUUACAUUCUGACUGCCAUAGCUGGGAGAAUUGGGAAGAAAUAAGCAAACCUUCCAACAUACUCCCAGUGCUGUCUCUUCUCUCCUAAGGUGCACUUCUGCAAGGUACUGAGUUCUGGCCCUGGCCUCUCCACAUGCAGGAGUGAAAUCCCCACAGCACUGAGUGCUCAGCAACCGCUCUUGGGUGCUCUCCAGACAUCCCAUCAUCUGCUGCUUCAUAAGUCAUCAGUGUCACAACCAGUGGCAGAUGAUUGCUGCCUCCCUUUGUAUUGAUAGUAAGAAGUCCAAAAUGUUUCUAAGGCCAUUUAGGGAAUACAGUUGAAACUUGUUUCCUGUAUUAUUUUCAAUAUUUGACUUCUGAAUAAAUGCUCAACCCAGAGUUUUUAGUUGGACUUC
ensembl:lncRNA